rnacentral:rRNA from 1 species
CCGGAAUCGCUAGUAAUCGCGGAUCAGAAUGCCGCGGUGAAUACGUUCCCGGGUCUUGUACACACCGCCCGUCCACACCAUGGGAGUCGGGAAUGCCCGAAGUCAGUGGCCCAACCGGAAGGGGGAGCUGCCGAAGGUGGAGCCGGUGACUGGGGUGAAGUCGUAACAAGGUAGC